UACGUAGGGGGCUAGCGUUGUCCGGAAUCAUUGGGCGUAAAGAGCGUGUAGGCGGCCAGGUAGGUCCGCUGUGAAAACUUGAGGCUCAACCUCGAGAUGUCGGCGGAAACCCCCUGGCUAGAGUCCGGAAGAGGAGAGUGGAAUUCCCGGUGUAGCGGUGAAAUGCGCAGAUAUCGGGAAGAACACCCGUGGCGAAGGCGGCCAACUGGACGGUGACUGACACUGAGACGCGAAAGCGUGGGGAGCAAACAGG
rnacentral:rRNA from 1 species